rnacentral:rRNA from 1 species
AGAUUGAACGCUGGCGGUAGGCCUAACACAUGCAAGUCGAACGGCAGCACGGUAAGAGCUUGCUCUUAUGGGUGGCGAGUGGCGGACGGGUGAGGAAUACAUCGGAAUCUACCUUUUGGUGGGGGAUAACGUAGGGAAACUUACGCUAAUACCGCAUACGCCCUUCGGGGGAAAGCCGGGGACCAGCAAUGGCCUGGCGCUGAUAGAUGAGCCGAUGUCGGAUUAGCUAGGUUGGUGAGGUAAUGGCUCACCAAGGCGACGAUCCGUAGCUGGUCUGAGAGGAUGGAUCAGCCAACACUGGAACUGAGACACGGUCCAGACUCCGUACGGGAGCAGCAGGUGGGAAUUGUGGACAAG